rnacentral:rRNA from 1 species
UACGUAGGGUGCAAGCGUUAAUCGGAAUUACUGGGCGUAAAGCGUGCGCAGGCGGUUUUGUAAGUCUGUCGUGAAAUCCCCGGGCUCAACCUGGGAACUGCAUCUGUGACUGCAUCGCUGGAGUGCGGCAGAGGGGGAUGGAAUUCCGCGUGUAGCAGUGAAAUGCGUAGAUAUGCGGAGGAACACCGAUGGCGAAGGCAAUCCCCUGGGCCUGCACUGACGCUCAUGCACGAAAGCGUGGGGAGCAAACAGG